AUGAAGGAAGUGAGAUGUGAACAAACAAAUCUUGUCUUGAAUUGGGAGAAGUUCCACUUUAUGGUUAAUGAAGGCAUUGUCUUGGGUCAUAAAAUUUUUGAAAGAGGUAUUGAAGUGGAAAAAGCUAAGGUUGAUGCAAUUGAGAAAAUGCCAUGUCCUAAAGAUAUAAAAGGAAAACUCCUCUCAAAAUGGGAAGGCCCCUAUGUUAUCAAGGAGGUUUAUCGGUCUGGAGCCAUCAAAAUAAAUAAUGCCGAAGGUACUAACCCGAAGGUUGUCAAUGGGCGACGAAUAAAACAUCAAAUCUCCGGUACGCCAUUAAUGUUGAAAGUAAUAUUAUCCAAAUUUUGA
rnacentral:rRNA from 1 species